rnacentral:tRNA from 1 species
UGCGGGAUGGAGGAGUUUGGUACCUCGUUGGGCUCAUAACCCGAAGACCGCCGGUUCGAGUCCGGCUCCCGCUACCA